rnacentral:misc_RNA from 1 species
UUCAAAAUGGCCGAAAAACAGUGGCAAGUUGUAAACAAACAUGAUAUCAUGAAGAAAUGGCCUUUACAUUGCCUUGUUUUUGAAGACAAACCCGCACAGCUGAAAGAUAUUUUGAAGGAGAACAAGGUUGAUGUUGAGAGGCUGGAUCCUUGUGGUAGGACAGCAUUGCAUGUCGCUGUGACAUUGGGUCGGACAGAAUGUGUCAAAAUAUUGCUGGAUCAUGGCGUAGAUGCCAACGCAGUAAACAAACAAGGAUGGAAUGUUUGCCAAGAAGCAGUGAGCAGCGGGGAUCCAGAAAUACUUUCCCUUGUGUUCACACAGCGAGAUUUCCAGAGAGCAACUCAACGCCUUGAUGGGAUACCUGAGCUUCUUGAGGACCUAAAUGCUGCUCCAGAUUUUUAUAUUGAGAUGAAAUGGGAAUUUACAACCUGGGUUCCUUUUAUGUCAAAAAUGUGUCCCAAUGAUACUUACAAAAUAUACAAGCAGGGAUGUAAUGUCAGAGUAGACACAACAUUGAUUGGUUUUGAUCAAAAUAUCGUCAACUGGGAACGAGGCAACAUGAGCUUCAUCUUCAAGGGUGCAGCUGAAGGUGCUGAGUUUUUCGAAAUUAACCAUGACCGAAAAUUGUUUACAAAGGAAAAGCUUCAAAUGAGAGAGGAAAACAGAGAGACAAGCGUAUUUGAGACCGCACAAGAUGCAAUCAACACCAGAAUGAGUUCCCCAAAUAUCUCGACGAUUUUAGACACAGAUUCGAUCGCUUUUACCAAACAUAAGACGAUGUGGGGCUGGGGAGGAGAUAAAACAGAGACAAUUGAGGAUCACGAGGGGAAGAUGUAUGACGCUACGGGGAUUGAUGUGGUCACGAGGAUACGAUUUGAACAUUUAACCGAGGAAGAGAAGAAAUCAGAGAAAUCCAGAGUUUCUAGUUCAGGAAGUGGUUUGCAAAGCGUCUUAUCGGGCGAACAACAAGAAACAAUCUGUGACUUAGAGGAUCCUGAUAUCGUGGAUCAAUAUUCACUUAAUCCGUACGGCCUUUCCGUUGAAGAGUAUUUCAACUUGCGGUUGAACAAAUCGAAAAAAGAUAUAGGCCGCCCAAAAGACAUGAUAAGUAAGACACAAAAGUUCAAAGCAACGUUGUGUUUAUGUCCGACCUAUCCCCUGUCAUUGCAACAGCAAGUUCUUCCUGUAAUAAAGCUACUUGCGAUCAGUAAUUCGCAUUUUGCGAAGCUUCGAGAUUUUGUUGCUCUUCAUCUACCGUCUGGAUUUCCACUAAAAAUAGAAAUUCCGGUAUUUCAUUUUCUUAAUGCCCGCAUCACGUUUGGUAAUAUAAACGCCAUCGCUGCCCCGGUUCCAGGCGUGACGUCACAUGUGACGUCAGAACCAAGCCCUGAGGAAGACCUUGCAGAUGAUGAAACUAGGGUCACGUGUGCGAUUGACGCGGAUCGCUUUUUGCCCCCCACAGAUUACGUUGACCGAAGUAGGGUGGAACAAUAUUCAGGUCAGCAUAUUCAAAAUGACGAAGAGCUGUUGAUUCAAUUGGCGAUACAACAGAGUUUAGCCGACUCGGGCGGCACCGGUGAUGCGCGCCAAAAUUCCUGGGGACAGAGAACACAUCUCUCUAACAGUGAAGAAGACUUGCAAAGGGCAAUACGUGAAAGUCUUGCAGCAUCAGAUCAAGGAACGAGUGAUUCGACACCAGCGAAAAGGAUGGACGAAAAUCCAGGCUCUUACGACGAACAACUGCAGAUUGCUUUAGCAAUGUCUGUACAAGAUGUCAUCUCGAAAUCUCAAGAACAGAGGAAUGAAGAUGAUGAAUUAAAAAGGAUUUUGAAAUUGUCUCUUACAGAGAAAUAAGCGUAUAGUAUUAUAUAUCAAUACUGGGAUAAUUUAAGACGUAAAUUAUUUAUGUCCUUUAGAGACCCUACCCAGAUCAUUGGCGCAGGUUUUCUAAAAGAUGACACUUUUCUCUAUCAGAUUUUGCCUUGAUUUGUGACAGAUAUAUUGUGCAUUCUAAUAUCUCUGGUAUCUGAAAAAGUAUUUUAUUUAAAGAGAAUAAUAUGAUUGAAUAUGCUGUAUUUUUGGAAUAUGCGCAAUAUAGAAGUAUUACGGACGUGUUUAUGUCAGGGGAUUUAAAUUUUAGAACUUUUACUGCAUGCUUUCUGAUUGGUGUAAUUCCCUCAAACUGACCAAUCAUGUUCACGAAUGACCUCUCCUGCAACUUUGCGCUACAUCUGAAAGUCGCAAAGUUGGAAAAAAAUAUGGUUGCAUGUGCUGGAGGAAAAUGUUUUACUUAAUUUUGAUAUUUCAAUACAUUUUUGGUAGAAUCGUCGUUGGAAAUCCUCGAAAUAUAAUUGUUCUGCCAAAAUGACAGCGCAAACGUAAAUCCCAUAUUCCAAGAGAUUGCGUCGUAUGUACUAGCAUCAUCAGGCAGUUAUCGCCGUCAAUAGUAAGGUUCAUUAUUUCUCCAACUACAUGCAAGUG